UGAGAUGUUGGGUUAAGUCCCGCAACGAGCGCAACCCUUGUCCCUAGUUGCCAGCACUUCGGGUGGGAACUCUAGGGAGACUGCCGGUGACAAACCGGAGGAAGGUGGAGGAUGACGUCAAGUCAUCAUGGCCCUUAUGGUCAGGGCUACACACGUGCUACAAUGGACGGUACAAAGGGUCGCCAACCCGCGAGGNGGAGCUAAUCCCAAAAAGCCG
rnacentral:rRNA from 1 species